GAUGAACGCUGGCGGCGUGCUUAACACAUGCAAGUCGAACGGUGAAGGCGGAGCUUGCUCUGCUGGAUCAGUGGCGAACGGGUGAGUAACACGUGAGCAAUCUGCCCCUGACUCUGGGAUAAGCGCUGGAAACGGCGUCUAAUACUGGAUACGAGCUGCGAAGGCAUCUUCAGCAGCUGGAAAGAACUUCGGUCAGGGAUGAGCUCGCGGCCUAUCAGCUUGUUGGUGAGGUAACGGCUCACCAAGGCGUCGACGGGUAGCCGGCCUGAGAGGGUGACCGGCCGCAGUGGGAAGGAGAAACGGCCGAGCGUCCUCCGGGAGGAAGCAGGGGGGAAUAGUGCAGACUGGGCGAAAGGGUGAUGCAGCAGCGCGGCGUGAGGGAAGACGGCCGGCGGGUUGUAAACCUAUUGUGGCGGGGAAGAAGCGGGAGGGAGGGGAGAUGAAGAAAAAGAGACGGCGAACGAGGUG
rnacentral:rRNA from 1 species